rnacentral:rRNA from 1 species
CGGGAGGCAGCAGUAGGGAAUCUUCCGCAAUGGACGAAAGUCUGACGGAGCAACGCCGCGUGAGUGAUGAAGGCUUUCGGGUCGUAAAACUCUGUUGUUAGGGAAGAACAAGUGCUAGUUGAAUAAGCUGGCACCUUGACGGUACCUAACCAGAAAGCCACGGCUAACUACGUGCCAGCAGCCGCGGUAAUACGUAGGUGGCAAGCGUUAUCCGGAAUUAUUGGGCGUAAAGCGCGCGCAGGUGGUUUCUUAAGUCUGAUGUGAAAGCCCACGGCUCAACCGUGGAGGGUCAUUGGAAACUGGGAGACUUGAGUGCAGAAGAGGAAAGUGGAAUUCCAUGUGUAGCGGUGAAAUGCGUAGAGAUAUGGAGGAACACCAGUGGCGAAGGCGACUUUCUGGUCUGUAACUGACACUGAGGCGCGAAAGCGUGGGGAGCAAACAGGAUUAGAUACCCUGGUAGUCCACGCCGUAAACGAUGAGUGCUAAGUGUUAGAGGGUUUCCGCCCUUUAGUGCUGAAGUUAACGCAUUAAGCACUCGCCUGGGGAG